GGAAUGAUGGUGACCCAAACCCUCACCAGAGUAGCAAUUGGAGGGCAAGUCUGGUGCCAGCAGCCGCGGUAAUUCCAGCUCCAAUAGCGUAUAUUAAACUUGUUGCAGUUAAAAAGCUCGUAGUUGUAUUUUUGCGUUGACGGUUUGACCAUUUGGUUGGUUAUUUCGUUUUCGCUUUUGGGAAUUUCCCUUUUUACUUUGAGAAAAUUAGAGUGUUUCAAGCAGACUUUUGUCUUGAAUACUUCAGCAUGGAAUAAUAGAGUAGGACUUUGGUUCUAUUUUGUUGGUUAUUGAACCUUAGUAAUGGUUAAUAGGAACGGUUGGGGGCAUUCGUAUUUAACUGUCAGAGGUGAAAUUCUUAGAUUUGUUAAAGACGAACUACUGCGAAAGCAUUUGCCAAGGACGUUUCCAUUAAUCAAGAACGAAAGUUAGGGGAUCGAAGACGAUCAGAUACCGUCGUAGUCCUAACCAUAAACUAUGCCGACUAGUGAU
rnacentral:rRNA from 1 species